GCUUUGGAAAACCUCCCAGCCUUCUUUGCCAGGGCCUUGUCCCUAGUUGCCUUCCUGAUCUGGGACCCGCUGACAAGCCCUGAGCUGUUCACAGGCGCCUCUGUGUCCAUAGGAAAGUGGCCCUCCAGGGACGUUGCCACCGCACCUUCCGAUCAAGUCAACAGUAGGGAGCGCCCCGGGCCCUGAGUUGUUGUUCUCUCUGAUUCCGUGCUGUGGGUGUGCUGAGCAUCCC
rnacentral:lncRNA from 1 species